GAGUGGCGAACUGGUGAGUAACACGUGGGAAACCUGCCCAGAAGCGGGGGAUAACACCUGGAAACAGAUGCUAAUACCGCAUAACAACUUGGACCGCAUGGUCCGAGUUUGAAAGAUGGCUUCGGCUAUCACUUUUGGAUGGUCCCGCGGCGUAUUAGCUAGAUGGUGGGGUAACGGCUCACCAUGGCAAUGAUACGUAGCCGACCUGAGAGGGUAAUCGGCCACAUUGGGACUGAGACACGGCCCAAACUCCUACGGGAGGCAGCAGUAGGGAAUCUUCCACAAUGGACGAAAGUCUGAUGGAGCAACGCCGCGUGAGUGAAGAAGGGUUUCGGCUCGUAAAACUCUGUUGUUAAAGAAGAACAUAUCUGAGAGUAACUGUUCAGGUAUUGACGGUAUUUAACCAGAAAGCCACGGCUAACUACGUGCCAGCAGCCGCGGUAAUACGUAGGUGGCAAGCGUUGUCCGGAUUUAUUGGGCGUAAAGCGAGCGCAGGCGGUUUUUUAAGUCUGAUGUGAAAGCCUUCGGCUCAACCGAAGAAGUGCAUCGGAAACUGGGAAACUUGAGUGCAGAAGAGGACAGUGGAACUCCAUGUGUAGCGGUGAAAUGCGUAGAUAUAUGGAAGAACACCAGUGGCGAAGGCGGCUGUCUGGUCUGUAACUGACGCUGAGGCUCGAAAGUAUGGGUAGCAAACAGGAUUAGAUACCCUGGUAGUCCAUACCGUAAACGAUGAAUGCUAAGUGUUGGAGGGUUUCCGCCCUUCAGUGCUGCAGCUAACGCAUUAAGCAUUCCGCCUGGGGAGUACGGCCGCAAGGCUGAAACUCAAAGGAAUUGACGGGGGCCCGCACAAGCGGUGGAGCAUGUGGUUUAAUUCGAAGCUACGCGAAGAACCUUACCAGGUCUUGACAUACUAUGCAAAUCUAAGAGAUUAGACGUUCCCUUCGGGGACAUGGAUACAGGUGGUGCAUGGUUGUCGUCAGCUCGUGUCGUGAGAUGUUGGGUUAAGUCCCGCAACGAGCGCAACCCUUAUUUCAGUUGCCAGCAUUAAGUUGGGCACUCUGGUGAGACUGCCGGUGACAAACCGGAGGAAGGUGGGGAUGACGUCAAAUCAUCAUGCCCCUUAUGACCUGGGCUACACACGUGCUACAAUGGAUGGUACAACGAGUUGCGAACUCGCGAGAGUAAGCUAAUCUCUUAAAGCCAUUCUCAGUUCGGAUUGUAGGCUGCAACUCGCCUACAUGAAGUCGGAAUCGCUAGUAAUCGCGGAUCAGCAUGCCGCGGUGAAUACGUUCCCGGGCCUUGUACACACCGCCCGUCACACCAUGAGAGUUUGUAACACCCAAAGUCG
rnacentral:rRNA from 1 species